UACAGAGGGUGCAAGCGUUAAUCGGAAUUACUGGGCGUAAAGGGCGCGUAGGCGGAUAGUUAAGUGAGAUGUGAAAUCCCUGGGCUUAACCUAGGAACUGCAUCUGAAACUGGCUGUCUGGAGUGCGGUAGAGGGUAGUGGAAUUCCCGGUGUAGCAGUGAAAUGCGUAGAGAUCGGGAGGAACAUCCGUGGCGAAGGCGACUACCUGGACCAGCACUGACACUGAGGCACGAAAGCUAGGGGGAGCAAACAGG
rnacentral:rRNA from 1 species